rnacentral:rRNA from 1 species
UGAGACAGGUGCUGCAUGGCUGUCGUCAGCUCGUGUUGUGAAAUGUUGGGUUAAGUCCCGCAACGAGCGCAACCCUUAUCCUUUGUUGCCAGCGAUUCGGUCGGGAACUCAAAGGAGACUGCCGGUGAUAAACCGGAGGAAGGUGGGGAUGACGUCAAGUCAUCAUGGCCCUUACGGCCAGGGCUACACACGUGCUACAAUGGCGCAUACAAAGAGAAGCGAACUCGCGAGAGCAAGCGGACCUCAUAAAGUGCGUCGUAGUCCGGAUCGGAGUCUGCAACUCGACUCCGUGAAGUCGGAAUCGCUAGUAAUCGUGGAUCAGAAUGCCACGGUGAAUACGUUCCCGGGCCUUGUACACACCGCCCGUCACACCAUGGGAGUGGGUUGCAAAAGAAGUAGGUAGCUUAACCUUCGGGAGGGCGCUUACCACUUUGUGAUUCAUGACUGGGGUGAAGUCGUAACAAGGUAACCGUAGGGGAACCUGCGGUUGGAUCACCUCCUUA